rnacentral:rRNA from 1 species
CCUACGGGAGGCAGCAGUGGGGAAUCUUGGACAAUGGGGGAAACCCUGAUCCAGCCAUUCCGCGUAGAUGAUGAAGGCCUUAGGGUUGUAAAAUCCUUUCAGCAGGGAAGAUAAUGACUGUACCUGCAGAGGAAGCCCCGGCUAACUUCGUGCCAGCAGCCGCGGUAAU